rnacentral:rRNA from 1 species
AGAAUCAACGCUGGCGGCGUGCCUAACACAUGCAAGUCGAACGCGAAAGGGGCGCAAGCCCUGAGUAGAGUGGCAAACGGGUGAGUAACACGUGGGUGACCUGCCUUCGAGUGGGGGAUAACGUUCCGAAAGGAACGCUAAUACCGCAUGACAUCCUGCGUUUGGAAACGCGGACAUCAAAGCUGGGGAUCGCAAGACCUGGCGCUCGGAGAGGGGCCCGCGGCUGAUUAGCUAGUUGGUGGGGUAAUGGCUCACCAAGGCGACGAUCAGUAU